AACGAACGCUGGCGGCGUGCCUAACACAUGCAAGUCGAACGGGAAAGCCCGCAAGGGUGAGUACAGUGGCGCACGGGUGCGUAACACGUGGGUAAUCUGCCCUGGAGCCCGGAAUAACUCCCCGAAAGGGGUGCUAAUGCCGGAUAAGACCACGGGGACUUCGGUCCCUGCGGGAAAAGGUGGCCUCUGUAUACAAGCUAUCACUCCUGGAUGAGCCCGCGGCCCAUCAGCUAGUUGGCGGGGUAACGGCCCACCAAGGCUACGACGGGUAGCGGGUCAGAGAGGACGAUCAGCCACACUGGAACUGAGACACGGUCCAGACGCCUACGGGAGGCAGCAGUGGGGAAGCGUGCGCAAUGGGCGAAAGCCUGACGCAGCAACGCCGCGUGUGUGAUGAAGGUCUUCGGAUCGUAAAGCACUGUCGGGAGGGACGAAUAAGGGCCGGGUGAACAAUCCGGUCCGACGACGGUACCUCCAAAGGAAGCACCGGCUAACUCUGUGCCAGCAGCCGCAGUAAAAC
rnacentral:rRNA from 1 species